GUGAAAGUCAAGACUAUACUUUCAGGGAUCAUUUCUAUAGU
rnacentral:miRNA from 1 species